CUUGGUUGAUCCUACCAGUAGUCAUAUGCUUGUCUCAAAGAUUAAGCGAUGCAUGUAAGUAUGAACUAAUUUAGAUUGUGAAAUUGUGAAUGGCUCAUUAAAUUAGUUAUAGUUUGUUUGAUGGUAUCUACUACUUAGAUAAUCGUAGUAAUUCUACAACUAAAGCAUACAAUAACCCCUGCUUUUGGAAAGGAUGCAUUUAUUAGAUUAAAGGUCAAUGUGGGCUUUGCCCUUUGCUCUAAUGAUUCAUUAUAGCUUGACGGAUCGUACGACCUUUGAGCCAGCAAUGCAUUAUUCAAAUUUCUACCCUAUCAAUUUUUGAUGGUAGGAUAAUGGCCUAUUAUGGUGGUGACCGGUGACAGAGAAUUAGGGUUUGAUUCCAAAAAAGGAACCUAAGAAAAGGCUAAUACAUCCAAGGAAGGCUGCAGGUGAAAAAUUACCCAAUAUUGACACAGGGAGGUUGUGAUAAUAAAUAACAAUACCGGGCUCUAUAAGUCUAGUAAUUGAAAUAAAUACAAUCUAAAUCCCUUAAUGAGGAUCUAUUAGAAGGCAAGUCUAGUGCUAGUAGUCACGAUAAUUCUAGCUCCAAUAGCAUAUAUUUAAGUUGUUAUAGUUAAAAAACUCGUAGUUGGAACUAGGGUUGAGUCAUCUGGUCUAUCUUAUGGUGAGCAUCAGUCUACUUAUCCUUAUAACCAAUGAUGCACUCCUGACCUUAACUAGCUAGGUCAUUCCUCUGGCGAUGUUACUAUGAAGAAAUUAGAGUGCUCAAAGUAGGCCUAUGUUUGUAUACAUUAGCAUAGGAUAACAUCAUAAAAUUUUGGUGCUAUUGUGUUGGCCUUUGGGAUCAGAGUAAUGAUUAACAGGGAUAGUUAGGGGCAUUCGUAUUUUAUAGUUAGAGGUGAAAUUCUUGGAUUUAUGAAAAAUGAACAAUUACGAAAGCAUUUGCCAAAGAUGUUUUCAUUAAUCAAGAAUGAAAGUUGGGGGCUCAAAGUUGAUCAAAUACCAUCAUAGUCUCAACUAUAAAUGAUGCCGACCAAAGAUCAACAAAUGUUACUUUUAGGAUUCCGUCAACACCUUAUGAAAAAUCAAAGUCUUUAGAUUCUAGGGGGAGUACGGUUGCAAGGCUAAAACUUAAAAGAAUUGAUGGAAGGGCAUCACUAGAAGUGGAGCUUGUGGUUUAAUUUGACUCAACACAAGAAAACUUAUUAGGUCUAAACAUAGUAAGGAUUAACAUACUGAGAGCUUUUUCUUGAUUCUAUAGAUGGUGGUGUAUUGUUGUUCUUAGUUGGUAGAGUGAUUUUUCUACUUAAUUCUAUUAAUGAAUGAGACCUCAACCUAUUAACUAGCUACGAGGAGAUGAUCCUUUAUGGCUAGCUUCUUAAAGGGACUACUGCUAUUUAGACCAAGGAAGUUUGAGGUAAUAAUAGGUCUAUGAUGCCUUUAGAUGUUUUGGGUUGCACGUGCACUACACUGAUGUAUUCAACGAGUCUAUAGCCUUAGCCAAUAGGCCUAGGUAAUCUUUGAAAUUUCAUCGUAAUAGGCAUAGAUCAUUACAAUUAUUGGUCUUCAACGAGGAAUUCCUAAUAAGUGUCACGUUGACUACGUCCCUACUUUUUGUACACACCACCUGUCACUCCUACCAAUCGAAUAGUCUACUGAAGUGUUCAUAUUGCAGCGACAUGGACCAUUCACUACUUAUGACGUUGCGAGUAAUCCACUAAACCUUAUCAUUUAGAGGAAGGAGAAGUCAUAACAAGGUUUCCAUAGGUGAACUUACGGAAG
rnacentral:rRNA from 1 species